UUCAGGGUUUUUUUUGCUGAGAGAACAUUUCCUUUAAACUAUGUGAAGAAACAGUUGUACUUCUGACUCCCAGACUCUGCUGAUUGAUUUUACAUUAUCUGUAAUAUUUGCGUAGUUUAAAUGUGUAGAUUUCCACCAACAAGUAAAUAAACCUGCAUCAGUGUGUGUGUGUGUGUGUGUGUGUGUGUGUGUGUGUGUGUGUGUGUGUGUGUGUGUGU